CCAGCACCCCGAGUGGUCGGGACGAUUAUUGGGCCUAAAGCAUCCGUAGCCGGUUUUACAAGUCCUCCGUUAAAUCCAACUGCUUAACAGAUGGGCCGCGGAGGAUACUAUAAGACUAGGAGGCAGGAGAGGCAAGCGGUACUCAGUGGUAGGGGUAAAAUCCGUUGAUCCAUUGAAGACCACCAGUGGCGAAGGCGGCUUGCCAGAAUGCGCUCGACGGUGAGGGAUGAAAGCUGGGGGAGCAAACCGGAUUAGAUACCCGGGUAGUCCCAGCUGUAAACGAUGCAGACUCGGUGAUGGACUAGCUUCAUGCUAGUCCAGUGCCGCAGGGAAGCCGUUAAGUCUGCCGCCUGGGUAGUACGGUCGCAAGACUG
rnacentral:rRNA from 1 species